AAUGAUCAGGUCUGUCUUUUUUGGAUACCUCUUAAACAUCUAUAUUCAGAUGCCUUGUCCACGUGGUACCAUCUACCUGUGGAUUUUUUAGAUAAACUAAUUGAACCUAAUUUUGAUAUAAUGUCUUCUUCUAUCUCUUUACACUUCCCUCCUCCACAUGACCCCAAUACACACAACUCUAAUUUUACAGUAGUAGUUUCCUUUUGAAAAUAGUAUAGAAAUCAUAAUAACUUUUGUUCCGUGAUCCUUGUGUAUGUAGUAGAUAAAGGAUCAAAUAUCACAAGUAUACAUGGAAAAGUAAUUUAUAAAACCACACACAUAUGAAGAUGGUAUUGGCUUUCUAAAGUUUACUUCCAAUUUAAGAUGCAGGCAAUGUCUUUUAUCAUGUCCACUCUCAUCAAUCAGUAGGAAAACUUGUUGAGUCUUGAUGUAUGGCAUAGGCUUACUUGGACAGGUUUCUAACAUGGU
rnacentral:misc_RNA from 1 species